GACGAACGCUGGCGGCGUGCUUAACACAUGCAAGUCGAACGCUGAAGCUUGGUGCUUGCACUGGGUAGAUGAGUGGCGAACGGGUGAGUAAUACGUGAGUAACCUGCCCUUGACUCUGGGAUAAGCCUGGGAAACUGGGUCUAAUACUGGAUAUGACAUGCCACUGCAUGGUGGUGUGUGGAAAGGGUUUUACUGGUUUUGGAUGGGCUCACGGCCUAUCAGCUUGUUGGUGGGGUAAUGGCCUACCAAGGCGACGACGGGUAGCCGGCCUGAGAGGGUGACCGGCCACACUGGGACUGAGACACGGCCCAGACUCCUACGGGAGGCAGCAGUGGGGAAUAUUGCACAAUGGGCGGAAGCCUGAUGCAGCGACGCCGCGUGAGGGAUGACGGCCUUCGGGUUGUAAACCUCUUUCAGCACGGAAGAAGCGAGAGUGACGGUACGUGCAGAAGAAGCGCCGGCUAACUACGUG
rnacentral:rRNA from 1 species